AGUCGAGCGCUGUAGCAAUACAGAGCGGCGCACGGGUGAGGAACACGUGGGAACGUACCCAACGGUUUGGGAUAACUCAGGGAAACUUGAGCUAAUACCGAAUACGCCCCUCUUUGGUGACAUUGAUGGGGAAAGAUUUAUCGCCGAUGGAGCGGCCCGCGUCCGAUUAGCUUGUUGGUGAGGUAAAAGCUCACCAAGGCGACGAUCGGUAGCUAGUUUGAGAGAACGAUCAGCCACACUGGGACUGAGACACGGCCCAGACUCCUACGGGAGGCAGCAGUGGGGAAUCUUGGACAAUGGGGGCAACCCUGAUCCAGCCAUGCCGCGUGAGUGAUGAAGGCCCUAGGGUUGUAAAACUCUUUCGGCGGGGACGAUAAUGACGGUACCCGCAGAAGAAGCUCCGGCUAACUUCGUGCCAGCAGCCGCGGUAAUACGAAGGGGGCUAGCGUUGUUCGGAAUUACUGGGCGUAAAGCGCGCGCAGGCGGUUUUCCAAGUCAGAGGUGAAAGCCCAGAGCUCAACUCUGGAACUGCCUUUGAAACUGGAAAACUAGGGUACGGGAGAGGUGAGUGGAAUUCCGAGUGUAGAGGUGAAAUUCGUAGAUAUUCGGAAGAACACCAGUGGCGAAGGCGG
rnacentral:rRNA from 1 species